rnacentral:tRNA from 25 species
GGGUCCGUAGCUCAGUUGGUUAGAGUACUACCUUGACAUGGUAGGGGUCACCAGUUCGAAUCUGGUCGGACCCACCA